UCCUGCGUUACACGCCGGGGAAAGGAAUUCUGGGAUCGUGUGUUAUGCUGAUCCAAAAUGUUUUUAAGAAAUAAAGUUGUAAAACAAUGGAUACAAGCACAUAUUUAUGUAUGUGUCUUGUCUGUAGACAUGGAGAUUCAGGGUUACAUCUCAGAGUGCUACUCGGUGUAUUUUCUGUGCACGUCCUUCCUACUUCAAUCUCGUGGUAUACCAGGGACCAUGUUUUUCCUUUCCUCACCAUACAGAAUACAAGAAAUGACGAUUCUGAAAAAGAAGCUGAUGACCAGAAUAAGGGAUAGGAAGAUGACCUGUUUGCUUGAAGAGCGAGGUGUACCCAACAUGGUUCUCACUGGAAUUACAGCAAAUUGGAAGACAGUGGUGGUGACACAGGGUGAAGAACUACUUUUCAAAGGGUGAAACACAAGAAUGGCUUUUAGGAAUUUUCCCCCAAAGUAAUUUGUGACUGGAUCCUGUUGCCGAAACUUGGCCUCUGUUCACCGGUGCCGAAGAGAAAUGCAGAGACAGAGUUUUGGGUGAAGUAGAAAAGAGUCGCUUUUAUUGCUUUGCCAGGCAGAGGGGGCCACAGCGGGUUAAUGCCCUCAAGACUGUGUGACCCACCCUGGAGGGCGUAGUGAGGAGUCUUACAGUGUUCGAGGAGCAGGGCGUGAUCAGCUCGCAGACAGUUCUCGGACUGGCUGGCAUCAAGGUGAAGUUUCAAGCGUCAUCAACCUUCUGGUCUCAACCAGUCCAGGGUCUGUGUGCUUGUGGGCAGCACUUUCCAUCUGGAGGGGGUCUGCUCCCUGUAAAACCACUUAGGAGUGUGUGUCAGGCCUUUAUCUGUAGCCUCAGUGAACUGGGAGUUCGGUGAUUCUGCCAUGUGGCGGAUUUAUAGUCUAAAUUGUCGCCCGUUCCCCAGCCCGACAGCUGUUCUUUGUUUCUACACCUUCACAUUCCCUAAUCAUUAACUCUUGAGUCAGCACUUUACUUCGAAAGACAAGGACACGGGGCCUCGUACACGGUUUCAAUCCUGACCAGGUCUGAGAUUUACACGAUGCAUAUGCUGUUGUUUUCAUGAAUGUUAAUGUCCAUAAAAUGAAGUUCUUAAAGGCAUUAUUUGAGUUCUCCAUUGAUUACUGAUUAUAUCAUCAAUACCUUCCAGCCCUGGCAGCACAGGGAGGAAGGAAGAAUUGCUGGGAUGCUUGCAUCAC